rnacentral:ncRNA from 1 species
GAAUUAUUGUAAAUUAUUAACGUAAAAUAUUUUUUUAUUAAGACAUAAAAAUAAAUUUAUCUUAAAAACCUUUUAAAUUAUAUUAGAUAUAUAAAACAAAUAAUUUAAGAUUUAUAAAAUUGAGUGCCAGCAAUAGCGGUUAUACUCGAAAUCUAAUUUUACCUUAAAAAAUUAAAACUUUUAAUAAUAUAAUUUAACUAAUUUUAAGUAAAAUUUAAAUUUAAAAAAAUAUAAAGCAAGAAAUUAAUAAAAACUUUACUUAAAAAAUAGGAUUAGAUACCCUAGUAUUUUAAAGAAAAAUCAGGUAGUAAAAAAAUUAAUACAAACCUAUUUACAACGGCGGCAUUUCAUCUAAUUAGAGGAAUCUGUUAAAUAAUUGAUAAUCCACAAUAAAUUUCACUUUAAAUAAAAACUUAUAUACCGCCAUCUAAAGAAUUAAAAUUUAUAUUUUAUUCUAAAUAAAAUUAAAAAGUUAGGUCAAGGUGUAGUCUAUAUUAAAGCUUAAAUGGAUUACUUUAAAAAAAUUUAUGGAUUUCAUUAAAUUAUUAUUAUUUUAAAAAGGAUUUAAAAGUAAUAAAAAGGACAAUAUCAAUAUAUUAAUAAGAUAAAAAAUGUGUACAUAUCGCCCGUCACCCUUCUCUUAAAGAAAAGGUAAGUCGUAACAUAGUUGAUAUUUUGGAAAAAGUAUCAAG